GGUUCCGUUCCCCAUUUUCAGUUUGGGGAGAACAGGUCAAAAAAAGCAAAUCUCAGUGAGCGAAAAGAAUUGUGAGACAGCAAGUUUCACCUUUUGACAUGCAGCAGUGGCAGCAGCAUCAGCAGCGCCAGAAAUUGUUCUGUAUCUACCUAGGUGGCUUGUCUGUAAUCUGUAGAUAGGACUCAAAUAUCAUUGAGCCAGGGCAUCAAUGGACGAAAGCAGAGGGAUGACAUACUGAGGUAAUUAUUGCCAGUAACUUAGUUAUUAUUAUUAUUGUUAUUAUUAUUAGAUCCUAUCCUGGGCAGGAUCAUGAAAACAGCU
rnacentral:sRNA from 2 species